GUAUGUAUGGGAGAUGCAUCUUCAUUGUUUACGUUGUAUGUAUAAAGUAUAUACAGAUAUACAGUAGGACAACUGAAUGUGCCUUUUUGGCCGAAAUGUGAUUCUGCGGAUGUCAGUGGUCCUACGCCGAAAAUUGGACUAUUUUGCUUCGGCCGACAUCAACUGGAAAAUGGCGCGCUUUUGUAUUUGUUUUCAUACGUUGACGGCAAAGUGCCGAUGGUAAAUACUGUAGAUUGUAAGCAAAUUUAUAGAGAAACAUAUAGGAGUUGACAUCUUUUUUUUUCAUUUUUCGAACAUUAACACCUUAUUUUUUAUAUAUCUGAAAAUAGAAUUUCGAAUUUUGAUAUUCCAAAUUGUAGAACUGAAAAGCGA
rnacentral:lncRNA from 1 species